GUAACCUGCCCAAGAGACUGGGAUAACACCUGGAAACAGAUGCUAAUACCGGAUAACAACACUAGACGCAUGUCUAGAGUUUAAAAGAUGGUUCUGCUAUCACUCUUGGAUGGACCUGCGGUGCAUUAGCUAGUUGGUAAGGUAACGGCUUACCAAGGCAAUGAUGCAUAGCCGAGUUGAGAGACUGAUCGGCCACAUUGGGACUGAGACACGGCCCAAACUCCUACGGGAGGCAGCAGUAGGGAAUCUUCCACAAUGGACGCAAGUCUGAUGGAGCAACGCCGCGUGAGUGAAGAAGGGUUUCGGCUCGUAAAGCUCUGUUGGUAGUGAAGAAAGAUAGAGGUAGUAACUGGCCUUUAUUUGACGGUAAUUACUUAGAAAGUCACGGCUAACUACGUGCCAGCAGCCGCGGUAAUACGUAGGUGGCAAGCGUUGUCCGGAUUUAUUGGGCGUAAAGCGAGUGCAGGCGGUUCAAUAAGUCUGAUGUGAAAGCCUUCGGCUCAACCGGAGAAUUGCAUCAGAAACUGUUGAACUUGAGUGCAGAAGAGGAGAGUGGAACUCCAUGUGUAGCGGUGGAAUGCGUAGAUAUAUGGAAGAGCACCAGUGGCGAAGGCGGCUCUCUGGUCUGCAACUGACGCUGAGGCUCGAAAGCAUGGGUAGCGAACAGGAUUAGAUACCCUGGUAGUCCAUGCCGUAAACGAUGAGUGCUAAGUGUUGGGAGGUUUCCGCCUCUCAGUGCUGCAGCUAACGCAUUAAGCACUCCGCCUGGGGAGUACGACCGCAAGGUUGAAACUCAAAGGAAUGACGGA
rnacentral:rRNA from 1 species